rnacentral:rRNA from 1 species
UACGGAGGGGGCGAGCGUUGUCCGAAUUUAUUGGGCGUAAAGCGCGUGUAGGCGGACCGUCAAGCCUGGGGUGAAAGGUUUGGGCUCAACCCGAACAGUGCCCUGGGGACUGGUGGUCUGGAGGGAGGCAGAGGAGUGUGGAAUUCCUGGUGUAGCGGUGGAAUGCGUAGAGAUCAGGAAGAACACCCAUGGCGAAGGCAGCACUCUGGGCCUCACCUGACGCUGAGACGCGAAAGCGCGGGGAGCGAACAGG